GCCGGGCGCAGUGGCACAUGCCUGUAGUCCCAGCUACUCGGGAUGCUGAGGUGGGAGGAUCGCUUGAGCCCAGGAGUUCUGGCCUGUAGUGCGCUAUGCUGACUGGGUGUCCACACUAAGUUCAGCAUCAAUAUGGUGACCUCUGGGGAGCGGGGGAUCACCAGGUUGCCUAAGAAGGGGUGAACCGGCCCAGGUUGGAAACAGAGCAGGUCAAAACUCCUAUGCUGAUCAGUAGUGGGAUCGUGCCUGUGAACAGCCACUGCACUCCAGCCUGGGCAACAUAGCGAGACCCCAUCUUUA
rnacentral:SRP_RNA from 13 species